UACGUAGGGUCCGAGCGUUUGUCCGGAAUUACUGGGCGUAAAGAGCUCGUAGGUGGUUUGUCGCGUUGUUCGUGAAAACUCACAGCUCAACUGUGGGCGUGCGGGCGAUACGGGGCAGACUUGAGUACUGCAGGGGAGACUGGAAUUCCUGGUGUAGCAGUGGAAUGCGCAGAUAUCAGGAGGAACACCGGUGGCGAAGGCGGGGUCUCUGGGCAGUAACUGACGCUGAGGAGCGAAAAGCGUGGGGGAGCGAACAGG
rnacentral:rRNA from 1 species